AAUUAGCCCUGAUAGAAGCGGCAUCCUUUUUAGAAGACUAUUUUUCCUAGCCUUCUAAAAAGAUACAGCCGAUAGCAGGAAAUAGC
rnacentral:sRNA from 1 species